GUGGUGGUCUUCCAGUCAUGGAUGGAGUUGUGGUUAUAGUACCACCUGUUGCUUUGGCAUGCUCUUAACAGUGCUUUACAAUGUGUUUUGUGUUUUCAUGUGGUGGAGAGAUAACUUGUAAAAC